AAGUCGUAACAAGGUCUCCGUAGGUGAACCUGCGGAGGGAUCAUUAAAGAAAAAACAUACUAUACCAAAGUGUUGAGAGUUUUUUGGUGUUUGGGUUGUUGUGUGUUUUGCACGCCCCAGCCCCCCAGCUCUCUCGCACUUCAAACAAACGAUCGCAACUAUAUAGAAAACAGAGAAAUGGAUGAGAGUGUAUCUUGUGCUGUGUGCUUGGUGGAUGAGAUCAGCUCGAAAAAGUGUUUGCCUGAUAAUCUGAUUGGAAACAAAAUAUACAACUUUCAACAACGGAUCUCUUGGCUCUCA
rnacentral:misc_RNA from 1 species